AACGAACGCUGGCGGCAUGCCUAACACAUGCAAGUCGAACGAAACCUUCGGGUCUAGUGGCGCACGGGUGCGUAACGCGUGGGAACCUGCCCUUAGGUUCGGAAUAACUCCCCGUAAGGGGUGCUAAUACCGGAUAAUGUCUUCGGACCAAAGAUUUAUCGCCUUUGGAUGGGCCCGCGUUGGAUUCGCUAGUUGGUAGGGUAAAAGCCUACCAAGGCGACGAUCCAUAGCUGGUCUGAUAGGAUGAUCAUCCACACUGGGACUGAGACACGGCCCAGAAUGCUACGGAAGGCAGCAGUGGGGAAUAUUAUACAAUGGGCGAAAGCCUGAUCCAGCAAUGCCGCGUGAGUGAUGAAGGCCUUAGUGUUGUAAAGCUCUUUUACCCGAGAUGAUAAUGACAGUACCGGGAGAAUAAGCGCCGGCUAACUACGUG
rnacentral:rRNA from 1 species